GAUGAACGCUAGCGGAAGGCUUAAUACAUGCAAGUCGAGCGGUAAAAAUCUGAGCAAUUGGAUUUGAGAGCGGCGCACGGGUGAGUAACGCGUACAUGACCUACCUUUAAGAUCGGGAUAGCCCUGGGAAACUGGGAUUAAUACCGGAUGUGAUAAUAAGUAUAGAGAUUUAUUAUUAAAGCUGAGGCGCUUAGAGAUGGGUGUGCGUCUGAUUAGCUAGUUGGUAGGGUAAAGGCCUACCAAGGCGACGAUCAGUAGGGGGCGUGAGAGCGUGAUCCCCACACGGGUACUGAGACACGGACCCGACUCCUACGGGAGGCAGCAGUAGGGAAUAUUGCGCAAUGGGCGGAAGCCUGACGCAGCGACGCCGCGUGAGCGAAGAAGGCCUUGGGUCGUAAAGCUCUGUCCUUGGGGAAGAAGGCGAAAGCUUGACGGUACCCAAGAAGAAGCCCCGGCUAACUACGUGCCAGCCAGCCCGCGGUAAUCAAUACUCGUA
rnacentral:rRNA from 1 species